GACGAACGCUGGCGGCGUGCUUAACACAUGCAAGUCGAACGAAGUGGCGAACGGGUGAGUAACGGGUAAUCAACCUGCCCUUCAGAAGGGACCAAAAGUUGGAACCGACUGCUAAUCCCCCAUCCUGAAGGGGGGGAUUGGGUUUGAUUGGCUGGUUGGAGGGGUAACGGCCCACCAAGGGGAGGAUCAGUAGCCGGUCUGAGAGGAUGAACGGCCACAUUGGGACUGAGACACGGCCCAGACUCCUACGGGAGGCAGCAGUGGGGAAUCUUCCGCAAUGGACGAAAGUCUGACGGAGCAACGCCGCGUGAGUGAUGACGGCCUUCGGGUUGUAAAGCUCUGUUAAUCGGGACGCGGUACCGGAAUAGAAAGCCACGGCUAACUACGUGCCAGCAGCCGCGGUAAUUC
rnacentral:rRNA from 1 species